rnacentral:rRNA from 1 species
GGUGAACGCUAGCUACAGGCUUAACACAUGCAAGUCGAGGGGUCUGCUUCGGCAGACGACCGGCGCACGGGUGAGUAACGCGUAUCCAACCUGCCCUUCUCAUUGGGAUAGCCUUUCGAAAGAGAGAUUAAUACCGAAUAACAUAGUUUGAUUGCCUGAUUAUACUAUGAAAGCUCCGGCGGAGAAGGAUGGGGAUGCGUUCCAUUAGGUAGUAGGCGGGGUAACGGCCCACCUAGCCUACGAUGGAUAGGGGUUCUGAGAGGAAGGUCCCCCACACUGGAACUGAGACACGGUCCAG